ensembl:lncRNA
ACUAAUAAAAUUUAAAAGGUGUUUUCCGGGUGUCGAUGGGUCCGACCCAUCGAGUUAGGUGCUGAUUGGUAAGCGAAAAGGGGUGUGCCAAGAUUUCCUCUCACCUGAUUGGUUGGAGCAGAAAGUCUCUCGCUGCUUCUCCGCCUCGGGCAGAAUCAGCGCUGCUGAUUCUUGUAUUGGGGUCGCCGGGUUUGGUCUGCAUUCUGUUGGAUUCGUGCUUAGGGUGCACCGCGAAGGGGCCGGAAAGGAAAACUUGGGCUACCGCUGAGGGAGCCUCAAGUCCGGGAGUUCGCCGAAAGCGAGGAAGGCGGCCACACACGAAGAUGUCAUUUCCAGCAUCAGUGAGAACUAUUUGUGUUAACACUAAAAGAGAAGAUAUAAGUGGUCCAUCUUAUCAAGGAAAAAGGUAAGUAGUUUGAAAUCCAGUUAGUUUCCUGGAAGUGAUAUACAUCUACAGACUUACACAGAAUGGGAAUUGGGACACACAAGGAUUGGCUCUAGAAGAGAUAGCUGAGAUGGAGUACUGUAUUUCAGACCGAGAACUCCAGCUGGUUCACCAUAGGGAUGUGGAAUUAAGACACUCUCACUCCAUUUUGGUUUCCCUAUAUAAUGGAGAUGAGAGCUUCCCCUACCUGCCUCAUAGAAUUAUCAAGACGAUGAAUAAUGCAGCAUAUUAACAUGAUUUGAGACUUUUGAAAGAUGCCUUUUGUAAGUGCUGGCUAUGAUUUUGUCAUUAUCAUUAUUACCUUAUCACUGCAGAAAAUCAUGCUUAGAGAAGUGUGUUGGCCAUUUGACAUCAAUUUAUGGCCAAGUUCAUCUUCCUCCCAAAUUUCUUUCCCCACUAAUGGACAUUAAGCCAAUCUAACUGGUCUACUCAACCUCCCUAACAUACCAUGAGCAUCCUGACCUUUGAUUCUCUGCUCACGUCAUGCCUCCUGCAUUUUCUUUCUGUUCCUCUCCAUUUUUCUAAAAUGUUUUCCCCAAGGUCUAACUUGGGUUUCUUCUCUGUUAAAUGACUCUCUCUUUUUCUUAUUCUGCUUCCCUAGAGAAAAAGCACCAGUAGCAUAUACAUGAAUACAAAGGAAGAGAUUUAUUAUGGGGGGCUGGUUCUUGUGAUUACAGAGACUGAGAAAGCCCAAGCCCACAGUCUGCCAUCUACAAGCUGGAAAGCCAGUGGUGGAGUUCUAGUCCAAACCCAAAGGCCUGCAAACCAAGGGAGCUGAUGGUGAAGGUCCAGGUCUGAGUACGAAGGCCCAAGAACCAGAUGUGCCAAUGUCUGAGGGCAGGAGAAAAUGGAUGACCCAGCUCAAGCAGAGAACAAAUUCACAACCCUCCACCCCUUUAGUUUUAUUCAAACCCUUAAUGGAUUGGUUGAUGUCCACCUGCUCUAGUAACGAAGAUCUUAACUCAGUCUACCAAUUCGAAUGUUAAAAACUUUUGGAAACACCCUCACAAACAUACCCAGAAAUGUUUUCACCAACCAUCUGGUGUCCCCUAGUCCAGUCAAGUUGACAUAUAAAAUUAGCCAUUAAAAUCACACAUAGUCAACAAACGUUUGUUGAGUCCCUAUAUAUAGUUAGGUAAUGCUCUAGGCACUGGGGAUAUAGUCCUAAAAAAGGACACUGUCACUCUCCUCAGGAAGCUCAUGGUUUCCUUCAGUCACUUUCAAAAUUUCUCGAUGUAAGAAGUAUAUUUUACAUCAAAAUCCACCGCACAAUCAUAUAUUUGUGUUUGUAUACACACACACACACAUAUUUCACAAUAUAGUAUCUAUGUAUGCUGCCUUCUAAUAUCUUCUAUUUUAAGUGAUGCUGGUUGUGACCCACUGCUAUGAUUUUACAGCUUCCUAAUGAGUCUCAACUCACAGUUUAAGUAACACUGGUCCCACUGAGA